AGGUCCGGCAGCAUUUGAGGAGCAGGAGAAUCGACGUUUCGGGCAUAAGCCCUUCAUCAGCUCUUAAGCUACUGCUGAGCUUUGCUCGACCUGCAAAUCUCCAUUGUUGUUUCCAUGAUGCACCCUUCUCGUAUCAGUUAGCCAAGUGACAUAUUUUACUUUCCAAGGAGAUGUAAAUAUACAAGACUGAUAUGAUUACGAAUUGGAUUGAUGCCAUUACAAUGAUUUAUGGAGUUUCUCAGUGACCCAAAGUCGUUUAUAGCAACAUGUACUGUCCUCAGAAUUACUCUUCUUUCAUGGAAUGAAAAAUUGACAUCUUUAUAGCCAAUACUGAGUGAUACAGCGAAUAGGAGUCAUUUUUGGAAAUUACUAUAUUGCCAAGUCUGUCUAUUUAAAAUAUAAAGAGUAGUGCCAGGAAUGUGUUUGUACUCCUUUUGAGCAUUUCAAAAAAGUAACCUUCUUACGAAGGACUUUGUUUGAAGAUUGCAAGCAACUGUGUUACAAAAUGUGUUGUGACUCACUGCUUUUGGCAUUGAAUUUGACAUUCUGGCUGCUCUAUGUUCUAAGCCUAAAUGCCAUUUUUCAUCUGUUCAAACUCCACCUGAUUAAAUAACCAAUGAGUUUCCUCCUGGAUCUUCAAGUCUUCUACAGUGUUGCAAAAUUACAAUGAAGGAAAAUGGUUAUAUGAAUCCAAUGCCAGACCCUUUGGAGGCUAGGUACUUUGCAUGGAAGAAUGCAAGGGUUCUUUGCCAUCUGCUGUCAACAUGGGGUUCAGUUAGUGAGAAAUUGGUUUGAAAUUACAUUUGCUGACACUCUGACCCUUCCACUGAAGUUGAGAUUUCCCAACACAGUGCUUACCCCAAUCUAAUCUGGAGCUGUGCUAAUAGAAGACAAUCUUCACAAGAAUUAUUUCUUCGAAUCAUCAUUUGGAAGUAAGACAGGAUAUACAGAGUAAGCAGCAAUCCAGCUCUCCACAUACAGCAUUAGAGAAGUGACAGACUCUUACUCCCCCGUCCAUCAUUUUAUUACCAUAAAUUCUAUCCUCCUUCUGAAGCAAGACCACAUGAGGUAUUGCAACCAAGGUUUUGGACUCUCUGUCAAUCCAGAAAGCUUAUAUGGAAAUGAAUUCCCACAGAGACCAAGGAUAUUAAGCAAGAGGUUGAAUUCCCAGCGAUUGACUGCAAGGACCACACAGCAAGGCCUAUCAAGUCCUCUGAAGAGCAGUCCACCCAAACCCGCUCCCUACCAUAUCGCCAUAACUCUGCAUUUCCAAUAGCUAAGCAAGCUAGGCUGACUGUGGGAGGAAACCACAGCAUCCGGAAGAAACGCAUGCAGAAUGGAAUGUUCAUGUGAACAUAAGAAUUAGGAGCAGGCACAAACCACUCAACUUCUGAAGCGUGUUUCAAGUUUCAAUAGGAUUGUGGCUAAUCUGAUUUCAGGUGUCAGCAGAAACAGGGGCAAAAGUGCAGAAAAGAUGAAGGAUGGAUUUAACUGCAAAUCCUAUAUAUUCCAGUCGCUCUUCGUAACAAAGGCAUCUGGUUCCGAAAGGUU